CAGUCGCCACGGUAAUACAGAGGGUGCGAGCGUUAAUCGGAUUUACUGGGCGUAAAGCGUGCGUAGGCGGCUUCUUAAGUCGGAUGUGAAAUCCCUGAGCUUAACUUAGGAAUUGCAUUCGAUACUGGGAAGCUAGAGUAUGGGAGAGGAUGGUAGAAUUCCAGGUGUAGCGGUGAAAUGCGUAGAGAUCUGGAGGAAUACCGAUGGCGAAGGCAGCCAUCUGGCCUAAUACUGACGCUGAGGUACGAAAGCAUGGGGAGGAAACAGGAUUAGAUACCCCAGUAGUCCCUGUCUCUUAUAC
rnacentral:rRNA from 1 species